GAUUUCUGGUCAUCCGCUUCUGGCCGGCCACGGUUUCGUGUGUUAGUGCUUGAACUGUGUCCAUCCUUCCAAUCGCUCGUGGCGCAUCUUCAUUGAUGGGUGACGGGUAUUGGAUCGUUUACUUUGAAAAAAUUAGAGUGUUUCAAGCAGGCUUGAUGCUAUGAAUACAUUAGCAUGGAAUAAUAAUUUAGGACUUCGGUUCUAUUUUGUUGGUUUCUAGGACUGAAGUAAUGAUUGAUAGGGAUAGUUGGGGGUGCUAGUAUUCAGCGGCCAGAGGUGAAAUUCUCGGAUUCGCUGAAGACUAACUUAUGCGAAAGCAUU
rnacentral:rRNA from 1 species